rnacentral:misc_RNA from 1 species
GGUGGGAGGUAGAGGCGAGCUGAGACGCCGUUGAUGGGGUCGAUGAUGACGUCUUUGGAGUCAACGCCAGCGGAGGGAUCGAUAGUGGCGGGGACAACGUCGGUGCCGAGGAGGCGUUCGAUGCGGCCGCUCUUGAAUAGGCGGAGAAAAGGUGGAAGAUCGAGCUCGAUCUCUGUGUUGGGAUCCAUUGGGGAGGUAGAAGAUGAUGGGAAGACAAAGAUUGUUUUGGUCCUAUAAAAU